AAAGAUCCAGUUUUUAAUCCCCAGUACUGUCAAAGGAAAAAAAAAAACGUGUAAAAUACUUAAAAUAAUUUGGUUUAGAUUCUACAUUCUGAAAAACCCAUUUUCUCCUUUUCAUUUUACAACAUAUUCUUUAGAAAAAAAAAAUGAUUCCAACAAUGCACAAUUCAUGGAAUAUAGGGUAAACAUCCUUUACUGCUUCCUAAUUCUACUUUUCAGGUAAAAAAAUUACUGUCAGUUUGACACAAUUUUCUAAACACUUUCCUAUACACUACUUCGUGUAGGCUCAUUCUGCCUGGAAAACUGAGAAUGGUACCAGGAGGGAAAAGGCCCAGAUGCCACCUGAACAUCAGCUGAACAGAGCGGCGAGACUGCAAGAGCAUUCGUUCGUUCGUUCUACAGUGAGGUGGAAGCCUUCUGACGACAGAAAGACAAAUCCUCUGGAACUAUGUCAAGAAAGGCAAUGGCAAAAAAGCUUCUCCAGCUAGAAAUAUGAUGCAAAGUAUAUCAAGCUACAAAGGAUGCUCUGGGAAAGACAGAGAAGACUGGAGGAAUCCUCCACACCUAAAUAAAUAAUAGCAACUUUGCUACUAACUGGUGUACGCAAGAGAAAGGAGACAGCUAUGGGCCGAGGAGCAGAAACGGUGUCCACCCGGUGAGCCCUUGUCUAAGAGGAAGCAAGCACACAGCUGCAUCAUCCCAGACCACGAGACCAGCUUUCCUGACCACUGGUGAGGGCGUACUCUUACCAGAGCGACGCGACCCCAAGCCCUGACAAUCUCGAGCCGGUCACCCGAAAAACUCGCUAAACAUUAAACCGCUCACGAGGUGAGAACUCAG